rnacentral:rRNA from 1 species
GACGAACGCUGGCGGCGUGCUUAACACAUGCAAGUCGAACGGAAAGGCCCUGCUUGCAGGGUGCUCGAGUGGCGAACGGGUGAGUAACACGUGGGUGAUCUGCCCCUUACUUUGGGAUAAGCCUGGGAAACUGGGUCUAAUACUGGAUAGGACCAUGCUGUAGGUGGUGUGGUGGAAAGAUUAGUUUCGGUAAGGGAUGAGCUCGCGGCCUAUCAGCUUGUUGGUGGGGUAAUGGCCUACCAAGGCGUCGACGGGUAGCCGGCCUGAGAGGGUGGACGGCCACAUUGGGACUGGGAUACGGCCCAGACUCCUACGGGAGGCAGCAGUGGGGAAUAUUGCACAAUGGGCGCAAGCCGGAUGCAGCGACGCCGCGUGGGGGAUGACGGCCUUCGGGUUGUAAACUCCUUUCAGCCAUGACGAAGCCCUUGUGGUGACGGUAGUGGUAGAAGAAGCACCGGCUAACUACGUG